AAGGUGGAAGAAGUUAUUCCUAGACAACGAAUGAAUCCCCUGGAUUUGGGUUGCGGAGUGAGGUGACCAGCUGGUCACCCUGGGGGUGGACUGAGCCAAAUGCCUAAGCCUCAUUGUUGUUUUAAUAACCCAAGUUGGAUUCAGGGAGUACCUGUGCAAUUCUGUGAUUAGCACAUCGGGCAGUGAGAUUUCCGCACGUUGUAGCUGAGAGGCCGGCUGCUGAGACGACCCCUUAGGGAAAAGUGGAAAACUCUGCCUCCAGAAUGGAGAUCUGGCUUUCUCUUCCCCUGCUCAACCUGAGCUCAGGGAUUCUGUGCCCCUCGCUCUCCGGACAGUUUUUACACCAGAUUAUCUUCUAAUUGCUGUGAAUGCAGCCGCAUCAGCAAGUCCCCAUCUGGGGACAUUAUCAAUUUCAAACCUUGGUCAGUCAUGAAGCCCCAUUGAAGGACUUCAUCCUGAAAUCCACGAACAAAGAACGAGAUCCCGCAAUGCUGUCAUCUAAAAUGCCUGAAAAUGCCAGUGCUGCGACAGAUGGCCCUGCUCGGUAAAAAGCCUAAUUAUUUGGUAUUGUAUGCUACAAAAGAGAAAUGCCAUAAUUCCCAGUGGGGGCUGUGGAUACUGGACCCCCAUAACCAGGUGCCAGAGAUCACGUGGUGUUCAAAGUCCAAAUUAUAAGCAUAGUGCCGAGGACUCUGAGGAUGACUUCUGCACAUCUUCCGAAAAGGGAUGGAACAGCAGAAUGAGUGCCAUCAUGGCUUGGAUGGUUGGAGGUGCUUUGGGCAUGAAGACCCUCUAACUGUGAAGUUAGAGGCUUCCAAUGUUAGCUCUGUUUUAAGUAUAUGCACAAAGUCACAGUCUCAUAGCUGAGCUAUUAAAAAUAAAAUCAACACCAAG
rnacentral:lncRNA from 10 species